AACGAACGCUAGCGGCACGCUUUACACAUGCAAGUCGAACGGAGGUACUUGUACCUCAGUGGCAAACGGGUGAGUAACACGUGGGAAUCUACCUUUCGGUGGGGGAUAACUGGGGGAAACUUCAGCUAAUACCGCAUGCGCUCAGAAAUGAGGAAAGAUUUAUCGCCGAGAGAGGAGCCCGCGUCAGAUUAGGUAGUUGGUGGGGUAAUGGCCUACCAAGCCUGCGAUCUGUAGCUGGUCUGAGGGGAUGAUCAGCCACACUGGGAUUGAGAGACGGCCCAGACUCCUACGGGAGGCAGCAGUGGGGAAUAUUGGACAAUGGGGGAAACCCUGAUCCAGCGAUGCGGCGUGGAUGAAGAAGGCCUUCGGGUUGUAAAGUCUGUCGCAGGGGAAUAACACAAUGAAGGUACCCUGUAAGAAAGGAUCGGCUAACUUCGUGCCAGCCGCCGCUGUAAGAC
rnacentral:rRNA from 1 species